CCCCCAGCCACCCUUACAACGGACAAACCGUCCCAUGGCUAGACAGCAGCUGAUCUGGGCAGGGACAGGCAGGGGACCAGCACACCGCAGAGUCAUCCCCAUAAAGCCAUGCUGUGGACCUGUGCCCUCUUCCACCUGGCCAUCUGCUGGGCAGGGGUCUCUUUGGAUGUAAUUUUGGAAUCAGAGACCAAAACUCUGACUGUCCUCCUUGGGGAGCCUGCCACCUUCCGUUGCAAUGUAACUGGAGGGAACUGGAAGAACUAUCAGAUGAGUUGGUAUAAGAGGAAUGAGAAUAACGUCUUAACUUUAGUAUACAGACUAAGCAAUAAUUCUAAUGAAAAUGUAAGGGGUAAUUUCAAGGGGAAAAUUGAUACUUCAAAAAAUCAAUACGUACUCAACAUUCAAAAAGCAACAAUAAAAGAUGUUGGAACUUACUACUGUGGAUCCGACAUCCACAGUGCUACAGUCCUGAUUCUGAUCGCCUCAAAUCUCCCCGAGUCAAACCAAGGCAGCAGAUCCAACGAGAGACCAUCUUUGGCUAAAAUGAGCACCACCCCUGAGAAUCCAAACUGAAAGAUAACUCACUAUUUGGGACACAUUGUUCUCAUGACAGAGGAAGAAGAAAAAAAGAGCUGCUGGCAGAAACUCUGGCAGAGUGCUCCUCAGAGCAUCUGCUUGGACAUGACAUACAUUAUGUCCACCCAUGUUCAUUGAUCAAAGCCUUUGGGCCACACUCAAACUCAGCUGGGCAGGAACUCGUACCCCUCCCUCAGAAGGCACCAUAGGAAAUGAAGCAACAUGCAGGAAUUCAUCUUUUUCAAAUAAAAGGGAGGAUCAAAUACUUGUGAAUAUAAGUGAAUACAAUAAUAAUGAUACAACCUACCACACCCUUUGACUCCAUCCAUGUCAUUCAUAUCCAACAUGGAGACUUUUUCCCACAUCAAUUAAAAAGGAUUUUGACAUAUAUAUACCUAUGGCUGAUUCGUGUUGAUGUUUGGCAGUAACCAAUAAAAUUCUGUAAAGCAAUUAUCCUUCAAUUAAAAAA